rnacentral:tRNA from 1 species
GGGGGAUUAGCUCAGCUGGUAGAGCGCUUCCAUGGCAUGGAAGAGGCCAUCGGUUCGAAUCCGUUAUCCUCCA